CUGCCUAUUUCAUUCCUUUGAAUAUAAAGAGAUGACCAUCUCCAACCUGAAGGUCUGUGUUUCUACCACCUAAGGUAGGGGGGAUGAAUCCUGCCUAUUGGGACUAACAGGAUCGCUGUUAGGAAGGUUUAGGGAGAGAGGAGUACAGCUGCGAUGUCUCUUAACUACUGGCUGUGUUUAUCUGCCUGCUCAGAAAUUGCUCAGAACAUAGGUGAAGUGUGAUGCAUUGUUAGUUUUUUCUGUUUUCCCUUUAGGGGAGAGAAAACGACUGGAGAAACAAUGGAAGAGCUGUGUUUACAGAGUAGUACAAAGCUGAAAAAUUUCCAUACUAUGUUUACCACCAGCCACAAUGUGUGGCAGCAGAAAUGCCUGUUUUGCAGACGUGUCCGUCAGGUGGAAGGUGCCUGGCCAAGAAUAAGAGAGUUGUGA
rnacentral:lncRNA from 1 species